rnacentral:rRNA from 1 species
AGUAAUCGCAGAUCAGCAUGCUGUGGUGAAUACGUUCCCGGGCCUUGUACACACCGCCCGUCACACCAUGGGAGUCGGUAACACCCAAAGUUGGUAGUCUAACCGCAAGGAGGACGCCGCCUAAGGUGGGAUUGAUGACUGGGGUGAAGUCGUAACAAGGUACC